GACGAACGCUGGCGGCGUGCUUAACACAUGCAAGUCGAACGCAGUUGCGAACGGGUGAGUAACGCGUACUCAACCUGCCCUUCAGAGGGGGACAACAGUUGGAAACGACUGCUAAUACCGCAUACUGAAGGAGGGGAUUGCGUCUGAUUAGCUAGUUGGUGGGGUAACGGCCCACCAAGGCGAUGAUCAGUAGCCGGUCUGAGAGGAUGAACGGCCAAAUUGGGACGGAGACACGGCCCAGACGCCUACGGGAGGCAGCAGUGGGGAAUCUUCCGGAAUGGACGGAAGUAUGACGGAGCAACGCCGCGUGAGUGAUGACGGCCUUCGGGUAGUAAAGCUCUGUUAAUCGGGACGCGGUACCGGAAUAGAAAGCCACGGCUAACUACGUGCCAGCAGCCGCGGUAAUUC
rnacentral:rRNA from 1 species